UGGGGAAUUUUGGACAAUGGGCGAAAGCCUGAUCCAGCAAUGCCGCGUGUGUGAAGAAGGCCUUCGGGUUGUAAAGCACUUUUGUCCGGAAAGAAAUCCUUGGCUCUAAUACAGUCGGGGGAUGACGGUACCGGAAGAAUAAGCACCGGCUAACUACGUGCCAGCAGCCGCGGUAAUACGUAGGGUGCAAGCGUUAAUCGGAAUUACUGGGCGUAAAGCGUGCGCAGGCGGUUUGCUAAGACCGAUGUGAAAUCCCCGGGCUCAACCUGGGAACUGCAUUGGUGACUGGCAGGCUAGAGUAUGGCAGAGGGGGGUAGAAUUCCACGUGUAGCAGUGAAAUGCGUAGAGAUGUGGAGGAAUACCGAUGGCGAAGGCAGCCCCCUGGGCAAUACUGACGCUCAUGCACGAAAGCGUGGGGAGCAAACAGGAUUAGAUACCCUGGUAGUCCACGCCCUAAAACGAUGUCAACUAGCUGUUGGGGAUUCAUUUCCUUAGUAACGUAGCUAACGCGUGAAGUUGACCGCCUGGGGAGUACGGUCGCAAGAUUAAAACUCAAAGGAAUUGACGGGGUCAUAGCUGUUUCCU
rnacentral:rRNA from 1 species